rnacentral:lncRNA from 1 species
AUGGUAGAAUAAGCCCACCUGCAGCUUCUGUCAGCAGUCUGUCUGAAUCCUUACCAGUACAGUGCGCAGAUGGCAGUGUCCCAGACGCUCAGUCGGCGCUAGAUUCUACGUCUUCAUCUAUGCAGCCAGGCCAAAGCCACGGAUUGGUGUGGCCAUCGGUGACCAGAUCUUGGACCUGAGUGUCAUUAAACACCUCUUUACCGGACCUGUCCUCUCCAAACAUCAGCAUGUCUUCGAUGAGGUAGGACAUUGUGUCAUGGACUGUCUCUGUCUCACCACCUACUACAAAUGACAUAGCAUCUUCAUAGUCACCAGUUAUUCCCGGAUGAGGAGGAGCUGUUCUGAGACACACAGGUGGCAUGAGGUAGCCUCGACACCUUAGGGCAGCUUCUCAAUAGAAUGUGAGCUCCUGAGUCCAGUGGAUCUCUCCAAGUUGCCUAUGAGGUGAGACUGUUGUGUUAGCCUGGUUCCUUUAUAUACAAGGAUGUUCAUGCUUUGGUCUUUGGAGGCUCAGGAAAACCUUGAGAAAAGGAGCCAUGAGCCUUGCAGUCUAGAUUUUAGGGUAAAGCUUGAGACACUCAUCCUGGCUUCUAUGUUCAUGAAUGAUGACUGCCCAGUACUUCAAGGGUACAGUCCUGGGGCAUCCAACCUUGCUUGUGUGUCUGUGUAGGAUGCCUACCCUGUCAUCCAGGUAUGCAGUUGUGCCUGGGGGCAGCCAGCUUGUCUACCUCGUCUGUGUGGGAUGGAUGUAACUUUCCUCCCUUGUCACAGCUCAGCUCU